rnacentral:rRNA from 1 species
GAUGAACGCUGGCGGCGUGCCUAAUACAUGCAAGUCGAGCGAACAGACGAGGAGCUUGCUCCUCUGACGUUAGCGGCGGACGGGUGAGUAACACGUGGAUAACCUACCUAUAAGACUGGGAUAACUUCGGGAAACCGGAGCUAAUACCGGAUAAUAUAUUGAACCGCAUGGUUCAAUAGUGAAAGACGGUUUUGCUGUCACUUAUGGAUGGAUCCGCGCCGCAUUAGCUAGUUGGUAAGGUAACGGCUUACCAAGGCAACGAUGCGUAGCCGACCUGAGAGGGUGAUCGGCCACACUGGAACUGAGACACGGUCCAGACUCCUACGGGAGGCAGUAGUAGGGAAUCUUCCGCAAUGGGCGAAAGCUUGACGGAGCAACGCCGCGUGAGUGAUGAAGGUCUUCGGAUCGUAAAACUCUGUUAUUAGGGAAGAACAAAUGUGUAAGUAACUAUGCACGUCUUGACGGUACCUAAUCAGAAAGCCACGGCUAACUACGUG